AAAGAUACCGUGGAGCCGGGAGGCUACAGUGGGGCGCAGGGAGAGGGAGGCUACAGUGGGGCGCAGGGAGAGGGAGGCUACAGUGGGGCGCAGGGAGGGAAAAGGCUACAGUGGGGCGUGGGGCGCAGGGAGAGGGAGGCUACAGUGGGGAGCCGGGAGGCUACAGUGGGGCACAGGGAGAGGGAGGCUACAGUGGGGCGCAGGGAGAGGGAGGCUACAGUGGGGCGCAGGAGGGAAAGGCUACAGUGUGGGCGCGGGAGAGGGAGGCUACAGUGGGGCAGCCGGGAGGCUACAGUGGGGCGAGGGAGAGGGAGGCUACAGUGGGGGCAGGGAGGGAAAGGCUACAGUGGGGCGCAGGGAGGGGAGGGAGGCUACAGUGGGGAGCCGGGAGGCUACAGUAGGGCGCCAGGGAGAGGGAGGCUACAGUGGGGAGCCGGGAGGCUACAGUGGGCGCAGGGAGAGGGGGGCUACAGUGGGGCGCAGGGAGGAAAGAGCUACAGUGGGGGCGCAGGGAGAGGGAGGCUACAGUGGGGAGCCGGGAGGGAGGCUACAGUGGGGCGCAGGGAGAGGGAGGCUACAGUGGGGCGCAGGAAGGGAAAGGCUACAGUGGGGCGCGCGGAGAGGGAGGCUACAGUGGGGGCAGGGAGAGGGAAGGCUACAGUGGGCGCAGGGAGAGGGAGGGGCUACAGUGGGGCGCAUAGAGGGAAAGGCUACAGUGGGGCGAGGGAGGAGGAGGCUACAGUGGGGGCAGAGCAGCCAGAGAGGGAAGGCUUACAGUGGGGCAGCAGGAGAGGGAGGCUACAGUGGGGCACAGGGAGGCACAGUGGGGGCGCAGGGAGAGGGAGGCUACAGUGGGGCGCAGGGAGAGGGAGGCUACAGUGGGGCGCAGGGAGGAGGGAGGCUACAGUGGGGCGCAGGGGGAGGGAAAGGCUACAGUGGGGCGCAGGGAGGGAAAGGCUUACAGUGGGGCGCAGGGAGGGAAAGGCUACAGUGGGGCGCAGGGAUGGAAAGGCUAGAUGGCGCAGGAGGGAGGUAGAGUGGGGCGCAGGGAGGGAAAGGCUAGAGUGGGGCGCAGGGCGGGAGAAGGCUAGAGUGGGGCGCAGGGAGGCGAGGGGGGCUAGUAGGAGUGGGGCGCAGGG
rnacentral:lncRNA from 1 species